CACACACUCCCACUAACACUCACUAUUAUUAAGUAUACACACAAUGUGCCACAAUCUCACUAACACACACUGUUAAGUAUACACAUAAUGUCACUGACACUAUUAAGUAUACACACAAUGUCUCACACUCUCACUAACACACACUAUUCAGUAUACACACACACAAUGUCUCACACUCUCACUAACACACACUAUUACUGAACUAUAUACACACAAUGUCACUCACACCAGUUUAGUCACACUUUAUACACACACAAACAUACACAAUAUGAUCAGC